GUAGCACCUUAGAGACCAACUAAGUUUGUUCUGGGUAUAUGCUUUUGUGUGCUUAUAUGAAGGUUAUACCCAGGACAAACUUAGUUGGUCCCUAAGGUGCUAC